AUACGUAGGGGACGAGCGUUGUCCGGAAUGAUUGGGCGUAAAGGGCGCGUGGGCGGCGCGGUAAGUCUGGAGUGAAAGUCCUGCUUUCAAGGUGGGAAUUGCUUUGGAUACUGCCGCGCUUGAGUGCGGGAGAGGUUAUCGGAAUUCCCGGUGUAGCGGUGAAAUGCGUAGAGAUCGGGAGGAACACCAGUGGCGAAGGCGACUUACUGGACUAUAACUGACUCUGAGGCGCGAAAGUGUGGGGAGCAAACAUGAUUAGAUACCCUGGUAGUCCAUGCUGUAAACGGUGGGCGCUAGGUGUAGGGGUCUUCCCCGCCUUCUGUGCCGUAGCUAACGCAUUAAGCGCCCCGCCUGGGGAGUACGGCCGCAAGGCUAAAACUCAAAUGAAUUGACGGGG
rnacentral:rRNA from 1 species